rnacentral:lncRNA from 1 species
AUGUGUGUGGCUUUAAAUUUGGCAUUUUUUCACAAACAUGUGAAAGAGGGUAUAGACAGUCUUUUUAAUUGGAUGAAGCCUUAUUUUCCUUUCCUCCUGGUGGUUAAGUCCUUGUUAUAUAUUAAUUUUUGCUCUGUUCCUUUGGGAGAGGGGGAGUUGGAAUGUAAGGAAAGAAAAGGAAUUGUUGCGACUUUUGGUGACUUGUUUUUCCUCCAUCCCAGGAUUCACCCGUCCUUCCGGUUGGAGAAUUCUCCGAGCCAUUUGUACAUUUCAUCACUCAGUGCAUGCGAAAACAGCCAAAAGAAAGGCCAGCACCUGAGGAAUUGAUGGGCCACCCGUUCAUCGUGCAGUUCAAUGACAGGAACGCGGCCGUGGUGUCCAUGUGGGUGUGCAGGGCUCUGGAGGAGAGGCGGAGCCAGCAGGGGCCCCCGUGAGGCCUGCGUGGGGCACUGGAGCCCAGGACUGGUCACCAAGGAGAAAGCCUGCCUGUCACAC